rnacentral:rRNA from 1 species
GAUGAACGCUGGCGGCGUGCCUAAUACAUGCAAGUCGAGCGAACAGAUGAGGAGCUUGCUCCUCUGACGUUAGCGGCGGACGGGUGAGUAACACGUGGAUAACCUACCUAUAAGACUGGGAUAACUUCGGGAAACCGGAGCUAAUACCGGAUAAUAUAUUGAACCGCAUGGUUCAAUAGUGAAAGACGGUUUUGCUGUCACUUAUAGAUGGAUCCGCGCCGCAUUAGCUAGUUGGUAAGGUAACGGCUUACCAAGGCAACGAUGCGUAGCCGACCUGAGAGGGUGAUCGGCCACAAUGGAACUGAGACACGGUCCAGACUCCUACGGGAGGCAGCAGUAGGGAAUCUUCCGCAAUGGGCGAAAGCAUAACGGAGCAACGCCGCGUGAGUGAUGACGGUCUUCGGAUCGUAAAACUCUGUUAUUAGGGAAGAACAAAUGUGUAAGUAACUAUGCACGUCUUGACGGUACCUAAUCAGAAAGCCACGGCUAACUACGUG